CAUGCGCAGAUCGCAAAUGUGUACGUGCGGUUCAUGCCAGACGUGCUGUCCCCCUGGAAGCCACCUUCUACUCUUUUCGUGCCUUUGGUCCCUUUGCAGGCGCAUGAGGUUGUUUGCCUCUAAACUGUGGAGGAGAUGGUUUUUUCCGAGGCAGGAUGUUCAAUGCCGAGAAAUGGCGGUACGGUGGCAAUGUCGAGACAAAACCGCAUUUAGCACCAGUUCUCUACACAGACUCAUUAACAAAAGAUAAUAUUUUUUUACAUGGUCCACAUUCUGCAUAAUUUUGAUGCUGCGUGGAAACACAGUAGCCAUUUCAACACAUAAACAUUAGUUCAAACCAAAGCCUUAAAGCAUUUUUUCAAAACUGAUUUACUGAUUCAAAUUCAGGGCUCCAUCCACUCCCACUUGAAGGGAAGAUUCUCAUUUCCUUUGACUGAAGCAGGAUAGAUUUCACAGACUGCAGCUGUCACUGUGCAAUGCUAACGCUGAAUUCAACAAAUAAAUACAUUAUCAUGUGUUUCAGCUGCUGCAGUUUAAAUUUUUUAUUACUGUUUUCCAAGUUCUAAAAAACUUCAUACUUGCAGGAAACGAAGAGAUUUCAGGUAGUACAUUAGCUAUUGUUUUUUGACCUAAAAUGGUGGACUGUUGGCAUUAUAUUGGUUAUGAAUGCACAAGGAAUUAUCGAAGGCAAGUUCACCAUGGGGAGAGGGAGAAAAAAACUUGAAUCCACCAGCUGGACACUGAAGUCCAACAAGCUUGUAGAAACAGAUUUUUUUUCUUUCUUUCAGGUUUUUAAAAUGGUGGCUUCUCCUCUUAAACGCUGCGUCUUAUUUUUGCUGCAGCAGCACAGUAAGGCUUUUUUUGCUUCUUAGGCUUCUGGUAUCAUUUAAGGAUUUGUGGAUAGCAGGCAUUACCUUUAUAUGGUUGUGAAGAAUUUCCCCAUUAUGUUAAUUUGGGAUUGAAGAAGGCCACAUCCAAAUAAAAUACCAGCCAGUCCUUCAGUGUCCUGAUACACUUCGCAUUGCUGCAGGAAAUAUGUGAACCAUCCUAAAAGUGUCCUGACUCAAAAAAUAGUAGCCAAAAAUGCUGGACUAGAAGAAUAUUGGUACUGAAAUGAGAAGGAGUCACAAUUAGGUGUUCACUCAAUGGUGGACAGAAAGGACAAAUCCUCUUCUGUAGACAGAUGUUUUGAAAUUCUUUGGUAUAUCAUGGUGUUCAGCAUCUCAAAUUUGACAGCAUUUUUGAAAAAGAAAUUAUGGAUGAAAGUCUGUCUUUCUGUGUGCUCUAAGUAAAUGUCUUCUUCUAAAAAUCAUAAUUUUCAGGAUUCAAAAGUUCUGUUCAUUGAUUAUUUAAAUUCUUAUACUUGGAUUUGGUCUGUGAAUGUAUGGGUUAAAUAUGGAAUGCUAUUGUCAGAAUAACUCAAGUCCUUCAGUUUUGUAGCAUGAUCAAAGAGCAGAACUUAACCUCAUGCCUGGACUAGCUACCUGAAGAUUUGAACUGGUUAUUGAGAAUGACUUUUUAGCCUGCUAUAAGGUAAGUACUGCCAAUUGGGAACAUAAGGGGAUACUGAUUUAGGAUGGAAGCUCAUACAAGUUUCUACCUACAGCUUUUUUUCUGUACUCCUUCACCGGCUGUAGAAUCCUCUUCAUCUGCAUAUGAUGGGAGCUUUCUUCGUCUUAAUACUGGAUGAUCCAUUUUCCUGAGCUAAUUUAUCAGUGUUCAUAAUCAGAGCAAAGUAGUUUACUGCAUUUAUUUCAUUAAAUCACAAGUGUUUGAGGCAGAGACAGCUUUUUCUGGCUUACACUCAAAAAAGCACCUUUAGAACUAUGAGCCCUCCGCCAUCCUGAGAGAAAGAGGGAAAACCCUGUUGUGAAUGAGUGCAAUCCAUCUUCCCAAGGCAGCCCCAGCAACCCGCUGCUCCUCAGCCGUCUGCUGUGUCUCGCUCCACAGGCAAUCAGUCUCAGUGAUGUGAUUGGUGAUGAAACCUCAUUUAGAGACCGACUUUUACUCUGAGGCAAAUUCCUGUGUUACUGGCACUUAAACACUCUUUUGUAAAAAUAAGUUUUCCAAAUAAAGGACUUCAAGGAAGGGAAGAUGAAGUUAUUCAAAUCAGCUAGAUUUUUUUCAGUGUAUUGUAGUGAGCUUUAGCACAUACAGAGCAUUUUAUUAACACUGAUCGUUACAGCCUUUCUCCUUCCUCUCUCCAGGAAAAGCAUUCUCCUGCCUUUAGCUUGAAGCUUAAGUGAAUUGAUCAUAGCUAACAGAAAGAGCAGGAGCACCUUUUUGUUGGACCCACGCUGCCUUGUGGGCUAUUGAGUUGCCUCUCGCAUGCCCAGGGAUCACACUAGCUGCGCAGAGAAGCAGCAGGUUUAGCUGCAGGUCUCUGGAGGCAGUUUGAAGCAGCCAUCAAUGGCAGGAGGAAUUCUCACUUUACAUGUCGUGUGUGCAGAAUCUGGGCUUGGAGCUGGGACCCCGCUCAUUUUUCUUCUCUACUUCCAAACUCUCUAAAUUUGCAAUAGUCUGAGGAACUGUCUAUUCUGGAACCACUCAUCUGUGGAGUCAACAAUACACAAAAUGCCACAUGCUGUCAGAUACCUACCUGGGAGAGUGUGAUGUUGAUUAAAUCCACUAUGUUGUCUCCUUGACUUGGUGGAUUUCAAUACGACAAGCACCUCUGUAGACUUGCCUGAGUCAAGACUGAAUAUGUUCUUUUGCUGUUUGGACAUUCUUGUAAGACUUAGGAAACUUUGGUUUGAGCCUCUGUCCCACAACUGACUUUGGAGGAUAGAAGGUUUCUCUCAUCUUUCAUGGAGGUCUUGGCAUUGGAUUGUUCCUCUACUGCAUAAAAAUAUGUACAAGAUUCACUUUUGAGCAGAAUUUGUCAAGAUGUCCCCAAAUGCAGGUUUUCCGUCGUCUAGAUUGAAGCCAAGGAAACCUACCUAGAGUGCUAAAAUUGCCUGCAACCCUGUCUUUGGGGAAGGAUUGGAACCAGCUGGUGUGGCUUGUGGGACGGA